rnacentral:rRNA from 1 species
CUUGCGCUAAUAGAUGAGCCUAAGUCGGAUUAGCUAGUUGGUGGGGUAAAGGCCUACCAAGGCGACGAUCUGUAGCGGGUCUGAGAGGAUGAUCCGCCACACUGGGACUGAGACACGGCCCAGACUCCUACGGGAGGCAGCAGUGGGGAAUAUUGGACAAUGGGGGGAACCCUGAUCCAGCCAUGCCGCGUGUGUGAAGAAGGCCUUUUGGUUGUAAAGCACUUUAAGCGAGGAGGAGGCGCUCUAGGAUAAUACCCUAGAUGCGUGGACGUUACUCGCAGAAUAAGCACCGGCUAACUCUGUGCCAGCAGCCGCGGUAAUACAGAGGGUGCGAGCGUUAAUCGGAUUUACUGGGCGUAAAGCGCGCGUAGGUGGCUAAUUAAGUCAAAUGUGAAAUCCCCGAGCUUAACUUGGGAAUUGCAUUCGAUACUGGUUAGCUAGAGUAUGGGAGAGGAUGGUAGAAUUCCAGGUGUAGCGGUGAAAUGCGUAGAGAUCUGGAGGAAUACCGAUGGCGAAGGCAGCCAU